CGGGAGGCAGCAGUGGGGAAUUUUGCGCAAUGGGCGAAAGCCUGACGCAGCAACGCCGCGUGAGUGAUGAAGGUCUUCGGAUCGUAAAGCUCUUUCGGCUGGGACGAAAACGGCUGGGUUAGCAGCCCGGUCCUUGACGGUACCGGAAGAAGAAGCACCGGCUAACUCUGUGCCAGCAGCCGCGGUAAUACAGAGGGUGCAAGCGUUGUUCGGAAUUAUUGGGCGUAAAGCGCGUGUAGGCGGCGGAGCAUGUCGGGUGUGAAAGCCCUCGGCUUAACCGAGGAAGUGCGCCCGAAACUGCUUUGCUGGAGUGCUGGAGAGGGUAGCGGAAUUCCCGGUGUAGAGGUGAAAUUCGUAGAUAUCGGGAGGAACACCAGUGGCGAAGGCGGCUACCUGGACAGACACUGACGCUGAGACGCGAAAGCGUGGGGAGCAAACAGGAUUAGAUACCCCGGUAGUCCU
rnacentral:rRNA from 1 species